rnacentral:rRNA from 1 species
AAAUUGAAGAGUUUGAUCAUGGCUCAGAUUGAACGCUGGCGGCAGGCCUAACACAUGCAAGUCGAACGGUAACAGGAAGCAGCUUGCUGCUUUGCUGACGAGUGGCGGACGGGUGAGUAAUGUCUGGGAAACUGCCUGAUGGAGGGGGAUAACUACUGGAAACGGUGGCUAAUACCGCAUAACGUCGCAAGACCAAAGAGGGGGACCUUCGGGCCUCUUGCCAUCAGAUGUGCCCAGAUGGGAUUAGCUUGUUGGUGAGGUAACGGCUCACCAAGGCGACGAUCCCUAGCUGGUCUGAGAGGAUGACCAGCCACACUGGAACUGAGACACGGUCCAGACUCCUACGGGAGGCAGCAGUGGGGAAUAUUGCACAAUGGGCGCAAGCCUGAUGCAGCCAUGCCGCGUGUAUGAAGAAGGCCUUCGGGUUGUAAAGUACUUUCAGCGGGGAGGAAGGUGUUGCGGUUAAUAACCGCAGCAAUUGACGUUACCCGCAGAAGAAGCACCGGCUAACUCCGUGCCAGCAGCCGCGGUAAUACGGAGGGUGCAAGCGUUAAUCGGAAUUACUGGGCGUAAAGCGCACGCAGGCGGUCUGUCAAGUCGGAUGUGAAAUCCCCGGGCUCAACCUGGGAACUGCAUUCGAAACUGGCAGGCUUGAGUCUUGUAGAGGGGGGUAGAAUUCCAGGUGUAGCGGUGAAAUGCGUAGAGAUCUGGAGGAAUACCGGUGGCGAAGGCGGCCCCCUGGACAAAGACUGACGCUCAGGUGCGAAAGCGUGGGGAGCAAACAGGAUUAGAUACCCUGGUAGUCCACGCCGUAAACGAUGUCUACUUGGAGGUUGUGCCCUUGAGGCGUGGCUUCCGGAGCUAACGCGUUAAGUAGACCGCCUGGGGAGUACGGCCGCAAGGUUAAAACUCAAAUGAAUUGACGGGGGCCCGCACAAGCGGUGGAGCAUGUGGUUUAAUUCGAUGCAACGCGAAGAACCUUACCUGGUCUUGACAUCCACAGAACUUUCCAGAGAUGGAUUGGUGCCUUCGGGAACUGUGAGACAGGUGCUGCAUGGCUG